rnacentral:rRNA from 2 species
GCGGCGUGCCUAAUACAUGCAAGUAGAACGCUGAAGGAGGAGCUUGCUUCUCCGGAUGAGUUGCGAACGGGUGAGUAACGCGUAGGUAACCUGCCUGGUAGCGGGGGAUAACUAUUGGAAACGAUAGCUAAUACCGCAUAAGAGUAGAUGUUGCAUGACAUUUGCUUAAAAGGUGCAAUUGCAUCACUACCAGAUGGACCUGCGUUGUAUUAGCUAGUUGGUGGGGUAACGGCUCACCAAGGCGACGAUACAUAGCCGACCUGAGAGGGUGAUCGGCCACACUGGGACUGAGACACGGCCCAGACUCCUACGGGAGGCAGCAGUAGGGAAUCUUCGGCAAUGGACGGAAGUCUGACCGAGCAACGCCGCGUGAGUGAAGAAGGUUUUCGGAUCGUAAAGCUCUGUUGUAAGAGAAGAACGAGUGUGAGAGUGGAAAGUUCACACUGUGACGGUAUCUUACCAGAAAGGGACGGCUAACUACGUGCCAGCAGCCGCGGU